rnacentral:rRNA from 1 species
UGGGGAAUAUUGCACAAUGGGCGCAAGCCUGAUGCAGCCAUGCCGCGUGUGUGAAGAAGGCCUUCGGGUUGUAAAGCACUUUCAGCGAGGAGGAAGGUGGUGAACUUAAUACGUUCAUCAAUUGACGUUACUCGCAGAAGAAGCACCGGCUAACUCCGUGCCAGCAGCCGCGGUAAUACGGAGGGUGCAAGCGUUAAUCGGAAUUACUGGGCGUAAAGCGCACGCAGGCGGUUUGUUAAGUCAGAUGUGAAAUCCCCGGGCUCAACCUGGGAACUGCAUUUGAAACUGGCAAGCUAGAGUCUCGUAGAGGGGGGUAGAAUUCCAGGUGUAGCGGUGAAAUGCGUAGAGAUCUGGAGGAAUACCGGUGGCGAAGGCGGCCCCCUGGACGAAGACUGACGCUCAGGUGCGAAAGCGUGGGGAGCAAACAGAUUAGAUACCCUGGUAGUCCACGCUGUAAACGAUGUCGAUUUUGGAGGUUGUGCCCUUGAGGCGUGGNUUCCGGAGCUAACG